rnacentral:rRNA from 1 species
GACGAACGCUGGCGGCGUGCUUAACACAUGCAAGUCGAACGAAGUGGCGAACGGGUGAGUAACGCGUAAUCAACCUGCCCUUCAGAGGGGGACAACAGUUGGAAACGACUGCUAAUACCGCAUACUGAAGGAGGGGAUUGCGUCUGAUUAGCUAGUUGGGGGGGUAACGGCCCACCAAGGCGAUGAUCAGUGGGCGGUUUGGGGGGGAGGACCGGCAACUUGGGACUGAGGCACGGCCCCAGACUCCACGGGAGGGAGGAAUAGGGAAACUUCCGCAAUGGACGAAAGUCUGACGGAGCAACGCCGCGUGAGUGAUGACGGCCUUCGGGUUGUAAAGCUCUGUUAAUCGGGACGCGGUACCGGAAUAGAAAGCCACGGCUAACUACGUGCCAGCAGCCGCGGUAAUAC